GGGUGCGAUCAUACUAGCACUAAUGCACCGGAUCUCAUCAGAACUCCGAAGUUAAACGUGCUUGGGCGAGAGUAGUACUAAGAUGGGUGACCUCUUGGGAAAUAGUCGUGUUGCGCCCC
rnacentral:rRNA from 1 species